rnacentral:rRNA from 1 species
GAUGAACGCUGGCGGCGUGCCUAAUACAUGCAAGUCGAGCGAACGGACGAGAAGCUUGCUUUUCUGAUGUUAGCGGCGGACGGGUGAGUAACGCGUGGAUAACCUACCUAUAUGACUGGGAUAACUUCGGGAAACCGGAGCUAAUCCCGGAUAAUAUUUUGCACCGCAUGGUUCAAAAGUGAAAGUCGGCGUUGCUGUCACUUAUAGAUGGAUCCGCGCUGCAUUAGCUAGUUGGUAAGGUAACGGCUUACCAAGGCAACGAUGCAUAGCCGACCUGAGAGAGUGAUCGGCCACACUAGAGCUGAGACACGGUCCAGACGCCUACGGGAGGCAGCAGUAGGGAAUCUUCCGCAAUGGGCGAAAGCCUGACGGAGCAACGCCGCGUGAGUGAUGAAGGUCUUCGGAUCGUAAAACUCUGUUAUUAGGGAAGAACAUAUGUGUAAGUAACUGUGCACAUCUUGACGGUACCUAAUCAGAAAGCCACGGCUAACUACGUG